AUCCAGCUGACGAGUCCCAAAUAGAACGGAACGCGCACCAAACUGGAU
rfam:Schistosoma mansoni, Puerto Rico, WGS project CABG01000000 data, contig: 0261